rnacentral:lncRNA from 1 species
GUUGGGUCGAGGAAUUCAGGUGGGUGGUCUAACCACAGCCAGAUGAGCUAUCUCUGCUGGUUGCUUUCUGACCAACCAUGAAUGGUUGAUACAUGACUACCCCCAUAUUACUAUUGGGGGAGAUAUUUGUACUUUACCUGUUUUGACAUUCAAGGUUCAGAAGAAAAAGUUCCAUUUGUUCCUUGUACAUUGUAUCUGAUUAUUAUUAUUUGUUUCAUCUGUUGAUUUGAAAAAUUACAUCCUCAUUUAGGAAGAAUAAUUUGGUACUACUCUGCAGCUGGUUAUCCAGCUCAAACCUGAUAUAGGUAGAAUAGCUGGAAACUUUGGAAAAGGUGUGGUCCUGCCAAAUUCAAGGCAACUUCAUCAGACCUUCUCUUUUCUUUUAUAGCGGAUGUGAUGCUGGUACAACCCAGAGUAGAAUUUAUUCUGUCUUUCAUUGACCACAUUGCUGGGGAUGAGGAUCAUACAGAUGGAGUAGUAGCCUGUGCUGCUGGACUGAUAGGGUGAGUUAUACCUGCUUCCAGUAGCUAAGUAUUCUCACGCAAAAUGAGAAACGUGUAGGAAUGAAUCUUGAGAGACUAAUAGAUGGUAAUAAUCCACUUCUCAGAGGAGAUUCAGGAGUUAGUUUGUUGUGAUGUUGGGGAUUGAACCCAGAACCAAUACUCUACCAUCAAGGAGAUAGUAAGCUCAUAGUGUCUCUCUUGGGUAUUCAUAAGUGAUAAUCCAUUUCAGACCCUCUAGAGCUCUGUAAUUUCUUCCCGCUAAACUCUGGUAUUGGUCAAUACCUCUGUUUAACAUCCUUUGAGGGUUUCUGAUGCAUUGUUAAGAGAGCAUUGGUCUUAAGCCCAAAGAUCUGGAUUCUAGUUCUGGUUUUUACAGUGAAUUUAGCUGUUUAAUCUUGGACAAAUUAUCCUAAUUUAUAUCUAAAAGCUCUUCUAGCUUUAAAAAGUAGAUGAAUGCUAAGAACUACGUAUUUAACUCAGCAGUGUUUUGACAGGUUCAAAACAUGGUUCCUGGAGUUCAUUCACAAGUGGUUUUAUUCUACGCAGGGACUUAUGUACAGCAUUUGGGAAAGAUGUACUGAAAUUAGUAGAAGCUAGGCCAAUGAUCCAUGAACUGUUAACUGAAGGACGGAGAUCGAAGACUAACAAAGCAAAAACCCUUGCUACAUGGGCCACAAAAGAACUGAGAAAACUGAAGAACCAAGCUUGGUAAGAUUGGGUCACCACUUUUCUUUCUUCAAGUUUCUUAGGAGGAGGUACAUUUAGGCUAUUGUGGCAGGUGCUGGUAUCUUAUUGGUACUCUUUCCCUUAUAGGUGCUUCCGGGCGAGACCUUUGUUCCUCAUUCUUGUACUAAGGGAAAAGUCAGGCAGUCUCAUUUCUCUUGAGCCAGAUAUUUGAUUGAUUAUGGUGCUGGAGAAUAGGACCCAGGGGCAUUUUAUCACUGAGUUAUAUUCCCUGCCCUUUUUAUUUUUUAGUUUGAGACAGGGUCUCACUAAGUUGCUGAGGCUGGCUUUGAACUUGCCAUCUUUCUACCGUAACCUUGUGAGUCACUGGAAUUACAGGCAUGCACUGCCCUGCCUGCCAACAGAACUUUUUUGUGGUUUUGUUUUGGGGGCUCUGGAAAUUUAAUCCAGAGACACUUCACCACUGAGCUUCAUCCAUAGUCCCUUUUUGUUUUUGAGACAGGUUCUCACUAAAAACCUCAAUAAUUUGCUGAGGUUAGCCUUAAAUGUGCCUUCCUCCUGUCUCAGACUCCUGAGUCUCUGGGAUUAUAGGCAUAUGCCACAACACCUGGUUAGAACAGAACUUUUACAACAAAAAAUUCCCAAAACAUUUGGACCCUAAUAAAACUAUUGAUAGAGGCAUUCUCCCAUAAUUCUCUUUUCUACACCCUUCCCCAUUCCCUCUCGCCCGCAAUGCUGCGGAUCAGACCCAGGGCCUUGUGUCUGCUAGACAAGUAUUUUAAGACAUUGCCAAACUCCAUAGAAGAUAUCCUUUGAGACCCCUGCUUUGGAACAUAGGUUUGUUUGUUUGCUUUCUGCAACUUAGUAAUUAGUAAAAAAGGGGGGGAGGGCUAUUUUUAGUUUUUAAUUUUAUUUUCCCAUCUACCCCUGAUGGAUAUGCUCAUGAGAGCAGGUAGGUGGCACAUAGGAAGAGAAGGAAAAUUAUUCAUUCUUGAAGUUGACAAAUCCAUUCAGCCUAUGAGCACUUGGUUGUAGGAAUUGGAGGUAUUUAGGUUUUAUUGAGCAUAUGUGAUCCUAGGAUUGAUCUUUUCCUUCCAUCUGUUUUUAGAUCUGUUACCAUUGGGAUGAUAACCUGAGACCCCCACUGGAAAUCUCCAAUCUUUUGAAAAACCCGGAAGUGAGGAGUGUGCACGGAUGCUGAAUGUUUGGGAAUGAGAGGAUGAGUGAGUGAGGCUUGAAAACACACCACAUUGAAAAUCCUGCCACAGCAGCAGCCGCAGCCGCCAACAGCAGCGCUGUUAGUGAGCUAAGUAAGCACUGACUUCGUAGAAAACCAUAACAUCAGCCAUCUUGGAAAAGAGAGAAACGACGGAUUUACUUGCUUACAAAAAAGCUGUCUCUUCCCAGGGGAGGCUAGAACUAGCUUUUCUGUCUUUUGGCAGUGCCGAGUGGAAUGACUGGUUUGGGAGAGGAAGAGGGACUGGGUUCAGCUGUGGUGCUUUGUUGUAAAAGGCAGCCUGGCCUUUGCUACUGAGGAGAAAGAUGGAGCCUGGGUCUCAAGCCCACCUUCGCUGUACCUUUGCCACACGGUAUUUUACACGUGCAGGCUAGAAGGAGGGUGAGGGAUUUUUACAGUCUGAGAAUGAGUGUGUGUGAGUGAGGCGGUAUCCACAUUCUCAACUUCAAGUCAUUGCAGUUUCUUUUUCCCAGAAAACAAGGGGUUAGAUGUUGCAUUUCAUAAAACUAACCGAAGUUCUGUCUACUGAUGCAGCACAAGACAUGUAAAAAAACAAAGAGGAAAAAAAAAAGGAAAGACGCUCUUUAGGUUUUGUUUUGUUGGUUUUUUUUUUUUUUUUUUUUUUUAAUUAUUUUAGGGAAAACACUGACGAAUGGUCAGAGCUCCUAUCCUGAUCUUUUCAUCAAGGCGCCUUUCCUAAUAAUAUGGUUCAACUGUGAAUGUAGAAGUGGGGGGGGGAGGGGGGAGAAAAAUAAAACUCUGAAGUUAGAGGAUAUAGAAAAAUAAAAAUACAAAUUGUUACAAAUAAAGAAUGCAGACUUAAAAGACAAAAAAGCCACAACCCAAACCAAAAUUUAAAUGCUUGAAAUUGGCAGCACAAAAGAAAAGCUCUCUCCUGACUUGUAUCGUGGCAGUCUGAACGCCCCCAGAGAAUUGUGCCAAAGAGUUUAGAAGACAAAUAACCAAUAAAAGUAAACACACAUGUGCGCACACACAUACAAACAUACACAACAGCAGACUUCAGGUAACUAUUUUGGAUUGCAAAUGAGGAUAAAUUUAAUGUUUAAACAAUCUGAUAAAAUAACCAUUUGGAAACUGCUUGGCCUUCUGUUCUCUUUUAUUUGAUUGACUCCAAUGUGGUAUUGGUCUCUUGCUGCACUUCAAAACCAACUAACCAACAAAACAAAAGUGUGUGUGUCUAUAUGUAUGUGUAGACACACACACAGCAGAACUCAUGAUGAAAGUGGCACUUGAAAAUGGUUAUAUUUUUCCACUGAAGUUUGAAGAUUAAUAAAAUGGUGUCAAACACUCCCCUGUUCACACAUUUUAGUUUUUUGUUUUUCAAGUGUAAUGUGCUGUGAUUACCAUAAACCAGAAUCAUUUUCCCUUUUACAAGGGAUCAGGGCAUCCUGAAUUUUAGACUUUCAGCAAUAAGAAGGGAUGUUGGUGAGCUUUUGGUUUUUGCAGAUACUAGGGAGUUUUUGUUGGCAUUUGAGUAUGCGGCUUUCAAAAAAAAAAAGGAAGGUUUUUAAAUUGCUUCCUAGUAGUUUGAGGAUUAAAAGGCAAGACCCACUUUCAUUUUCAUCCUGUAGAAAGCAUGGGCUUAUGUUUUUUCCCAUCUCUUCCUUUGCAUCUUCCCUUCCCUGAUCCAGCCUUCCAUUCAAAGUGGGAUUGGCUCGGUUUUGCCCAUCCGUAUGGCAGCAUCUCUAAUAGCUCUUGUACAGGGUAUCAAAUAUUGUGCCUUUUGGUGCCAGGUUCAAAGUCAAGUGCCGAUCUAUGAACCAGUGUACAAAAAAAAAAAAUCCAGGUGUUUGAAGGAGAGACGCUCCAUUGUGAAUAGAGAACUCACACCAGCUCCUAAGCCUAUUGAGAAGAGGGCCUGGUCCUCUUAAUGCCUUGUUUCCAUUUUAGUUGUUUCUUGAGUGAGGGAGAAUGAUAUACUAACCAUUCCUGAUAUUAGGUAGGGUUGGGUCAGGGCUUAGGGAGGGGCAGGAAUAUUGGGGAAAGAAAGAAAAAAUAAUCUGAUCAUUCCUCAGUGCUACCCAUUUCUGUCCUGUGUGGGUUGCUUAGCUAGACAGCAGGAGAAUAAAGUACACCAAGAACCAUAAUAAAAACAAAACCUUCCGUGUGUUUUGUCAUGUUUUGUUCCAGGGAACCAGUUGAUAAGUGCUGUUAUUAAUGCUUUCUCCCAGAUCCAUUCAGUGAUGGAGAGGAGGAAAUGGGCUGGUUGGAUUGUGGUCUUGGUGCCUUGUAGUUAUUCUGCACUGGUUAUGUAUUUAAUCCUCCUCUUUCCUAGAUACCUUUGGCAAGUGGAUUUUCCAUAGUCUGGGUAUUUUCCUUAAUCAGUUGUACCACCUAAGGCAACUGGAUGCAAAUGCAUUCUGUCCAAUCAUUGUCUGGGCCUUCCCCCACCCUAGUCUUGGCACAUUCCUUUAAGAAUGUAGUUACCGUCUGCUUGGGAAGAUGUCAGUGCAAAUGUGAAGAAAAUGGGCAUCGGACUAGACUUUGGUUUGCCACAAGUGGCAGCUGCCUAUACCAAUUACAUUUAAUUUUGCUUUUCAUUUUUCCCUGUUUCCCUCAGCCCCCCUCUUGAAAUGUGGAAAUUUUAGCUGUCAGAGGCAACUGUAAUAUUGCCCUAGGGACUUGUGGAGAAAGGGAGGGGAAUUGCUCAGUGUAGUGUUUUAAACUUUCAGAACCAAGCAACUAUUUACUCUUACUAUUUAAGAAGUGUGUUAGUCUGACUUUAAGAGAAAUCCAAACUCCAUCAGCUUUUGAUAGCAUCUUGGUUUUUGAAACAACUUCAAUCUGUAAUUGGCAUUCAGAAUGCCCUUGGCAUGCCAGUCUGUGUGAUGGCAUUAAAGACCUGUUAAAACACUUGAGCCCAACUUUAUUAACCAAAACUGAUACCACCACCUUUAUCUUCUAAAUAAAGUCCGCUUUAUUUUUAUUUUCAACAUUUUGCUGCUUCAGUUUUUUGUUACAGAUUGUGUC